UCGAGCUAUCGUCGUUGGAACGUCGAUGUGGUUCGUGUAUGGGAAAAGAAGAAUAGAGAGUUGAAUAGAGUUCAAUCGACUACGUUAGUGUGCGUGCGUUAAUAUGUACAUAUUUGUAUGUGCCUUUCGUGUAUUUUCUGUGAUCUAGUUUCUUGAAAACGUGACACGACAUUCGGAGGAAACGCGUGAUGUUCCGAAAGUGAUUUUGAAAACUGAUGAUCUUCCUCUCCUAAAUCCUAGUCCUUUCCCUUCUUCCUAUAUUCAAUUAUCAUCAUCAAAAGUUUUCAUCAUUUAAGAAUCUUUUUCAACUUGCUCAAUUUAUAUACACCGACAAAAGAUUCCAAUCUUCAAAUUCAUAACGAUACCAAAGAGUAGAAGAUAGACCAUGCCAAUUAAAAGAUGGAUCUCACCGAGCUGUAUCAUUCUAUUUUGUUUCAUUGGCACGAUAUCAAACAUAUUCGGAAACCCGAUCCGAGAAAGGCAGAAACGAGAAGCGGAAAUUGCUACGACAAAUUGGACGAAACUAGCGGACGAAUGGCUAAAAGAGAGAGCAAAAGCCUCGGAAAAUUUUGAUGUUGCACUUUUACCCUUUAACAAUAGAUUUCGAAAAUUACCGCCAACCGCAGAUACUGUUGUUAUUAACCAAACGAAUACCGAGCAAUUAUCACGGUUUAAUUAUUCACGAAUGCUGUGGGAAAUGGAAAAAGUACAACCGAGCGGACACCUGUCAUUGUUUGUGGAUAAGGCACUAAAGUUACUCGAUUUGAGGAAAGUGAUGAUGGAAGUUGAAACUUCGGUAAUGUCGAAGGUUUCAUGUACGGCAUGCAAAGUCGGUGCUGGUUUACUUCAGAAUUAUAUAAAAAAUGGCAGAAGUGAUAAAGAAAUCAUGGCGAAUAUAUAUCAAUUUUGUGUCUCCCUUAAUAUACAAAGUUCACGGGUUUGUGAAGGUGUCACUUUGGUAUUUGGAGCUGAAGUGAUUUAUGUUUUAAAACAAGUUGAGAUGGGUCCAGCUCAAAUCUGCAGUUUUGUUAUUGGUGAUGCUUGUGAUGAUGCUUAUAAUCCUUUACAUGAAUGGGAAGUAGCUUUUCCACCUGUAAAAAAACCACCAGUGAAACCACCUGUACCACCACAAGAAAAUGCACCAACAUUUAAAGUUUUACAUCUCUCCGAUACACACUUUGAUCCUUAUUAUCAGGAAGGUGCAAACGCUGAUUGUAAUGAACCAUUAUGCUGCAGACUUACGAAUGGAGCUCCUUUAAUACAAUCAGCUGCAGCAGGUAGGUGGGGUGAUUACAGGAAGUGUGACACUCCAAAGAGAACUGUUGAUCAUAUGUUGAAACAUAUCGCUGAAACGCAUCCAGAUAUCGAUUAUAUAUUAUGGACUGGUGAUUUACCACCUCAUGAUGUAUGGAAUCAGACAAGAGAAGAAAAUCUUAAGGUUCUGCAUGAUACCGUUAUGCAAAUGAUUCAAAUGUUCCCAGGUGUACCUAUAUUUCCAGCAUUAGGAAACCAUGAAAGUGCACCAGUUAAUAGUUUUCCACCACCCUUCGUACCCGAAGAAAAUAGUAUAUCGUGGCUCUACGAUGCAUUAGAUAAACAUUGGAGACGUUGGUUACCUGCUGGCGUCUCACAUACGGUUCGAAGAGGGGCCUUUUAUUCGGUUUUAGUGCGGCCAGGAUUUCGAAUUCUCUCUGUGAAUAUGAAUUAUUGUAACAAUAAAAAUUGGUGGCUUUUAAUUAACAGUACCGAUCCAGUCAGUGAAUUGCAAUGGCUCGUCUAUGAACUACAAGGUGCUGAAAUGAACGGUGAAAAAGUACAUAUAAUUGGUCAUAUACCUCCUGGUCAUUCGGAUUGUCUUAAGGUUUGGUCCAGGAAUUAUUAUCAUAUAAUCAAUCGAUACGAAUCCACCAUCACGGCACAAUUUUUCGGACACACGCAUUAUGACGAGUUUCAAGUAUUCUACGAUACUCAAGAUCUUCGAAGAGCUUUAAGUAUAGCUUAUAUAGGACCUUCAGUCACACCUUAUUAUGAUCUUAAUCCGGGAUAUCGAAUAUAUUAUGUUGAUGGAGAUCAUCCAAAAACGACCAGGAUGGUCGUCGAUCAUGAGAGUUGGGUGAUGAAUUUAAAAGAAGCAAAUCUUUAUGAUUAUCCUAUCUGGAGUAAGAUGUACAGUGCCAGACAAGCAUAUCAAAUGGCAUCGCUCUUGCCGAAGGAUUGGGAUUCAUUGAUCGAUAAAAUGUCUAACGAACCUUCUCUUUUUGACAUUUAUUACAAACACUAUUAUAAGAAUUCUCCAGUACGACCGUCGUGUGACGACGAAUGUCGGAAACGUUUAUUGUGUGAUCUAAGAAGUGGGAGAAGCCAUGAUCGUAAAGCAUUAUGCCAAAGUAUCGAAUCAAGAAUCGACAAUGAAACGAGAACAGGAUGGAGAGCAUGGAUCUAUAGCGGUUUGGCAUUAUCACGUGUUUUUGCAUAUAGCUGCAUAGGUUUCUCAUGUUCGAGUAAUAGUUCAGGCUAGCAUAAAUAAGUAAAAAAAAUGUAUUAUAAAUCAAUAAGAUAUAUUACAUGUUUCUGCAUAGUUAAUUUUAUACAUAUAUAUAUUCAAAUGCUAUUUUUAUUUUUUUUAAUGAUCAUUUUUGAUGACGAUUUUCACUUUUUGGCACCUAACAUUUGUAAAUAGUUUUGUAAUUUAGAUAUAUUUAUUAAACUAUCUGGUGAUGGAUUGUAAUGUGGUGAUUGGUACAUACUAUCAUCGCGUAUUAUCUAUUUUUAUGAUGUCCGUCGUUAUGGCUAUUCCUAGAUUCGCAUACAAUCUACCCAAAUACGUUCUAGGUCUUGGAUAGAAGAAAUUUCAAGUGGUAUGUGUAGAACAAGAAAAAAGAGAUUCAAACUGUUGUGAUAAGUUAUCAAAGAGAGUCAAAGAAUACAAAGUUCGUGCUCCAAAAUAAAAAAAAAAAAAAGAAAGAACUGCAAAGGAAUAUGCAGAAAAGGUAGCGUCAAUUUUUGUGAGAACGAUAACUUUAAGAAUUCAUCAAAAUGAUAUUGGCUGAUCGGCCUAUCAUUUUGUAUUAAUUUUAAUUUUGUAUUAAUGUUAAUUUUAUAUUGUUGAUCAUCGAUCGACUAUAUAAAUUUUAAAAAGUUUAAAAUAUGUUUGAUUUUUUCGAUGAUUAUUUUAUUUAUUUAAUAAAACCACACAAAGAUUUAUUUUGCGACGAUAUGCGAACCUCUAAUUACCUCAAUUUUAAUUUAUUAUAAUAAUAAAUAAUGUAAAAGAAGUUAAAACAAAAACAAAAAAGAGGAUUGAAAAUGAUCGAGAAAGAAUUGUAAAUUAGUUGUUAAUAAUUCCUCAAGUAGUCAAAUAUAUACGUAACCAACGUGUAUCAUAUUGUGUUUAGAUAAUUUACUAUUCUAACGGUGUAAAGAGCGUAUCUAUAAUAUAUAUUCCUAUUAGGAGAAUCUUUAAUUUAUAAAUAGUUAAUAUUAAGCAAAUGUCUGAUUAUAGUAAUAAUUUAGUUUCGUUUGAACAAACGAGUAUUUACAAAAAAAAAGAUCGACUUGGCAUCAAUGCAUGUUACAUUGAUUAUUUAUUAUUGAAUAAAAGAAAUUAUUUUUUAUUACUGU